rnacentral:rRNA from 1 species
AAUAAGACCUCUGUUUUGCUUUCAUUGGUUUUCAGAUCAAGAGGAAAUGAUUAAUAGAAGCAGUUUGGGGGCAUUAGUAUUACGAUGCGAGAGGUGAAAUUCUUGGACCGUCGUAAGACUAACUUAAGCGAAAGCAUUUGCCAAAGAUGUUUUCAUAAAUCAAGAACGAAGCUAGCAAUUGGGUGUAGCUACUUUUAUGGCUCUCUCAGUCGCUUCCCGAGAAACCAAAGCUAUUGGGCUCCGGGGGAAGUAUGGUUGGAAAGCUAAAACUUAAAGGAAUUGACGGAAGGGCACCACCGGCUUAAUUUGACUCAACACGGGAAAACUUACCAGGUCCGAACAUAAGUGUGUAAGACAGAUUGAUAGCUCUUUCUCGAAUCUAUGGGUGGUGGUGCAUGGCCGUCCUUAGUUCGGGGAGAGAUUUGUCUGGUAAUUCCGAUAACGAACGAGGCUCAAAUAUAUUAAAUAGAUAUCUUCAGGAUUACGCUGCUGAAGCUUAUAUAGCCUUCAUUCAUGGUGGCAGUAAAAUGUUUAUUGUGUUUGAAUAUGUUUAUGUAAGUGGAGCCGUACCUGUUGGUUUGUACCAUUAUAAGGACACUAGCUUCUUAAAUGGAUAAAUUGCGUCUAGCAAUAAUGAGAUUGAGCAAUAACAAGUCUGUGAUGCCCUUAGAUGUCCUGGGCUGCACGCGCGCUACAAUGAAAGUAUCAACGUGUAUUUCCUAGACCGAGAGGUCAGGGUAAACCGCUCAACCACUUUCAUGCUUGGGAUUGUGAACUGAAACUGUUCACAUGAACUUGGAAUUCCCAGUAAGUGUGAGUCAUUAACUCGCAUUGAUUACGUCCCUGCUCUUUGUACACACCGCCCGUCUCUCAUACCGAUUGAAUUAUUUAGUGAGGUCUCAAGACGUGAUCAAAGUGACGCCUUGCGUGUUACGGUUGUUUCGCAAAAGUUGACCGAACUUGAUUAUUUAGAGGAAGUAAAAGUCCUAACAAGGUUUCAGUAGGUGAACCUGCGGAAGGAUCAUUAUUGUAUAAAAUCCUUACUGUUAAUAAAAAUUUGUUAUAAUAAAAAUACAUUUUAAAUUUACCAAAAUUACUUACCAAAUUAAAAAAUUUACCAAAUUUAAAUUACCAUAUUAUCAAAUUUACCAGAUUACCAAAAUUACCAAAUUACAAAAGCAAAGCGCAUGAUAUGAUAUGAUUAUAGAACGAAACGAUUCGAUUAAAUCAAAAUAAAAAAAUAUAUAUAUAAAUAUAUUAAAAUAAAUGUUAAAAUCAAAAUAAAAUGAAGAUGGGUUUUUAUUUAUAUGAGGCUUAUUUAUAAGAUUUAUAAGAUUUUAACACUACAAAAUGCUGUGUAAUGGCGGGCAAAACAAAAAAAUAUUAUAUAUAUGUGGCCUUAAAAUGUAAAAAUAAAACUUCGAAUGUUGGACAUCGAAGAUAUCAAAUUCGAAAAUGGAAAUCGAAUUAUAACUUUAAAAUCUAUAAUUGUCUUUUAUUAAUGAUUCGGAAAUAGAAAAAACUUGGUUAUGUUAUUAUUCUUCGUUGGUAAAACAAUUAUUCUUCGAUUAUUAUUCUUCGAUUAAUGGAAAACACUUUGCUACAAGAAAUAAUUUAAUAAAAUGUUUUUAUCAUUAUAUAUUAAGCAUUAAUGGCAAGAAAAAGUUAUAUACAACCUCAACUCAUAUGGGACUACCCCUGAGUUUAAGCAUAUUAAUUAGGGGAGGAAAAGAAACUAACAAGGAUUUUCUUAGUAUCGGAGACAUAAGAGGUGUAGAAUAAGUGGGAGAUAUUAGAUCUCGGUUUGGUAUCGUCAAUGAAAUACCACUACUCUUAUUGUUUCCUUACUUACUUGAUUAAUGGAACGUGUAUCAUUUCCUAGCCAUUAUACGGAUAUAUUUAUUAUAGCUUAUGGUAUUGGGUUUUGAUGCAAGCUUCUUUAUCAAAGUAUCACGAGUUUGUUAUAUAAUCGCAAACAAAUUCUUUAAUAAAACGAUGCAUUUAUGUAUUUUUGAUUUGAAAAUUUGGUAUAACUCCAAUUACUCAGGUAUGAUCCAAUUCAAGGACAUUGCCAGGUAGGGAGUUAGACUGGGGCGGUACAUCUCUCAAAUAAUAACGGAGGUGUCCCAAGGCCAGCUCAGUGCGGACAGAAACCACAUAUAGAGCAAAAGGGCAAAUGCUGACUUGAUCUCGGUGUUCAGUACACACAGGGACAGCAAAAGCUCGUCCUAUCUUUUGGUUUAAAGAGUUUUUAACAAGAGGUGUCAGAAAAGUUACCAUAGGGAUAACUAGCUUGUGGCGGCCAAGCGUUUUUAGUGAUCAUUGUGAAGCAAAAUUCACGAAACGUUGGAUUGUUCACCCAUGCAAGGGAACGUGAGCUUGGUUUAGACCGUCGUGAGACAGGUUAGUUUUACCCUACUAAUGACAAAACGUUGUUGCGACAGCAUUCCUGCGUAGUACGAGAGGAACCGCAGGUACGGACCAAUGGCACAAUACUUGUUCGAGCGAACAGUGGUAUGACGCUACGUCCCUUGGAUUAUGCCUGAACGCCUCUAAGGUCGUAUCCGUGCUGGACUGCAAUGAUAAAUAAGGGGCAAUUUGCAUUGUAUGGCUUCUAAACCAUUUAAAGUUUAUAAUUUACUUUAUAAACGGCAAUGGAUGUGAUGCCAAUGUAAUUUGUAACAUAGUAAAUUGGGAGGAUCUUUGAUCACCUGAUGCCGCGCUAGUUACAUAUAAUAGCAUUAUUUAGUACA